rnacentral:rRNA from 1 species
AUUGAACGCUGGCGGCAUGCCUUACACAUGCAAGUCGAACGGCAGCACGAGGGCAACCCUGGUGGCGAGUGGCGAACGGGUGAGUAAUACAUCGGAACGUAUCCUGUAGCGGGGGAUAACCUCUCGAAAGAGAGGCUAAUACCGCAUACGACCUACGGGUGAAAGAGGGGGAUCGCAAGACCUCUCACUAUUGGAGCGGCCGAUGUCGGAUUAGCUAGUUGGUGGGGAACGCCCACCAAGGCUACGAUCCGUAGCUGGUCUGAGAGGACGACCAGCCACACUGGAACUGAGACACGGUCCAGACUCCUACGGGAGGC